rnacentral:rRNA from 1 species
ACUCAAAGGAAUUGACGGGGGCCCGCACAAGCAGUGGAGUAUGUGGUUUAAUUCGAUGCAACGCGAAGAACCUUACCUAGGCUUGAAAAGCCGUCUAAACCUGUGAAAGCAGGGUACCCGCAAGGGGGGCGGUACAGGUGCUGCAUGGCUGUCGUCAGCUCGUGCCGUGAGGUGUUUGGUUAAGUCCAGCAACGAGCGCAACCCCUGGAAAUAGUUGCCAGCGCGUAAUGGCGGGAACUCUAUUUCAACUGCCUACGCAAGUAGUGAGGAAGGUGGGGACGACGUCAAGUCAUCAUGGCCCUUACGCCUAGGGCUACACACGUACUACAAUGGCAACUACAAUGGGCAGCAAUACCGCGAGGUGGAGCGAAUCCUAUAAAAGUUGUCUCAGUUCAGAUCGGAGUCUGCAAUUCGACUCCGUGAAGGUGGAAUUGCUAGUAAUCGUAGAUCAGCAUGCUACGGUGAAUACGUUCCCGGGCCUUGCACACACCGCCCGU